CCCGCUGAACUUAAGCAUAUCAAUAAGCGCAGGAAAAGAAACCAACAGGGAUUACCUCAGUAACGGCGAGUGAAGCGGUAAUAGCUCAAAUUUGAAAUCUGGCCUCUCGGGGUCCGAGUUGUAAUUUGUAGAGGAUGUUUUGGGUACCGCCCCGGUCUAAAUUUCUUGGAACAGAAUGUCAAAGAGGGUGAGAAUCCCGUCUUGGACCGGCGGUAGGGCCUGUGUAAAACUCCUUCGACGAGUCGAGUUGUUUGGGAAUGCAGCUCAAAAUGGGUGGUAAAUUUCAUCUAAAGCUAAAUAUUGGCCAGAGACCGAUAGCGCACAAGUAGAGUGAUCGAAAGAUGAAAAGCACUUUGAGAAGAGAGUUAAACAGUAUGUGAAAUUGUUGAAAGGGAAGCGCUUGCAACCAGACUUGAGCGCGGCGGUUCCCCCGGUCUUUUGGCCGGGCUACUCCGUCGUGUCCAGGCCAACAUCGGUUCUGAGGGUCGGUCAAAGGCCUUGGGAAUGUAUCUACCUACGGGUAGACUUAUAGACUAGGGUGUCAUGCGGCCUCUCGGGACCGAGGAACGCGCUUCGGCUCGGAUGUUGGCGUAAUGGUUGUCAGCGACCCGUCUUGAAACACGG
rnacentral:rRNA from 1 species